rnacentral:rRNA from 1 species
AACGAACGCUGGCGGCAUGCCUAACACAUGCAAGUCGAACGAGAUCUUCGGAUCUAGUGGCGCACGGGUGCGUAACGCGUGGGAAUCUGCCCUUUGGUUCGGAAUAACAGUUGGAAACGACUGCUAAGACCAGAUGAUGACGUAAGUCCAAAGAUUUAUCGCCAGAGGAUGAGCCCGCGUAGGAUUAGCUAGUUGGUGUGGUAAGAGCGCACCAAGGCGACGAUCCUUAGCUGGUCUGAGAGGAUGAUCAGCCACACUGGGACUGAGACACGGCCCAGACUCCUACGGGAGGCAGCAGUGGGGAAUAUUGGACAAUGGGCGAAAGCCUGAUCCAGCAAUGCCGCGUGAGUGAUGAAGGCCUUAGGGUUGUAAAGCUCUUUUACCCGGGAUGAUAAUGACAGUACCGGGAGAAUAAGCUCCGGCUAACUCCGUGCCAGCAGCCGCUGUAA